rnacentral:rRNA from 1 species
AUGAAGGCGCGCCGCGACUCGAAAGAAAUUCUUGCCCGUACUCAGUCGGGGCUGGCGGUGACAGCCCCCGUGGGUGUCGUUCCCCUUCUUGGAGGCGUCACCGAGGUAUGUCGGCAUCUCCAUCGCUCGCCCUCAGGAUUGGUAGUUGUCUUCGAGGGAAAGCCUAGGUUUGCAGUCGAAUCGGCGCGAUGGCGGUGUCUUUACCGUCGCUACUCUGUUGGGAGCAUCGCGAUUGAAGAAACAACCUUGAGGUUCUAUGUUGUGCUACUUCUGGUGCUCGCCAUUGUUCAGGGUGAUCUUCAGUGGCGCAAUGUAUGUUACCGCCGAUGA